rnacentral:rRNA from 1 species
UACGUAGGUGGCAAGCGUUGUCCGGAUUUACUGGGCGUAAAGGGCGUGCAGGCGGUCUGUUAAGUCUAGGGUGAAAGCUCCCGGCUCAACUGGGAGAGGUCCUUGGAUACUGGCGACUUGAGGGAGGCAGAGGAGAAUGGAAUUCCCGGUGUAGUGGUGAUAUGCGUAGAUAUCGGGAGGAAUACCAGUGGCGAAGGCGGUUCUCUGGGCCUUAC